rnacentral:misc_RNA from 1 species
GAUGAAGAACGUAGUGAAAUGCGAUAAGUAAUGUGAAUUGCAGAAUUCAGUGAAUCAUCGAAUCUUUGAACGCACCUUGCGCCCCUUGGUUAUUCCAAAGGGCAUGCCUGUGUGAGUAUCAUGAACACGUCAACUCUUGUGGUUUCCCACAAUGAGCUUGGACUGUGGAGGUUUUGUUGGCCCUGUGGUCAGCUCCUCUCAAAUGGAUCAGCUUACCGGUGUUUGGUGGCAUUACGGGUGUGAUAACUAUCUACGCUCGUGGUCGUCUCCAAAUAACCUCCAGUGAUGGAGGUUCGCUGGAGCUUAUAAAUGUCUCUCCCCAGUGAAGACAGCCUUUGAACGUUCGAUCUCAAAUCAGGUAGGACUACCCGCUGAACUUAAGCAUAUCAAUAAGCGGAGGA